UUCUAGACCAAACUAUUCAGG
rnacentral:siRNA from 1 species